rnacentral:rRNA from 1 species
GAUCCUGGCUCAGGACGAACGCUGGCGGCGUGCUUAACACAUGCAAGUCGAACGAUGAAGCCUUUCGGGGUGGAUUAGUGGCGAACGGGUGAGUAACACGUGGGCAAUCUGCCCUUCACUCUGGGACAAGCCCUGGAAACGGGGUCUAAUACCGGAUAACACUCUGUCCCGCAUGGGACGGGGUUAAAAGCUCCGGCGGUGAAGGAUGAGCCCGCGGCCUAUCAGCUUGUUGGUGGGGUAAUGGCCUACCAAGGCGACGACGGGUAGCCGGCCUGAGAGGGCGACCGGCCACACUGGGACUGAGACACGGCCCAGACUCCUACGGGAGGCAGCAGUGGGGAAUAUUGCACAAUGGGCGAAAGCCUGAUGCAGCGACGCCGCGUGAGGGAUGACGGCCUUCGGGUUGUAAACCUCUUUCAGCAGGGAAGAAGCGAAAGUGACGUAC